GAUGAACGCUGGCGGCGUGCCUAAUACAUGCAAGUCGAGCGAACAGAUAAGGAGCUUGCUCCUUUGACGUUAGCGGCGGACGGGUGAGUAACACGUGGGUAACCUACCUAUAAGACUGGAAUAACUCCGGGAAACCGGGGCUAAUGCCGGAUAACAUUUAGAACCGCAUGGUUCUAAAGUGAAAGAUGGUUUUGCUAUCACUUAUAGAUGGACCCGCGCCGUAUUAGCUAGUUGGUAAGGUAACGGCUUACCAAGGCAACGAUACGUAGCCGACCUGAGAGGGGGAUCGGCCAAAAUGGAACGGAGACACGGUCGAGACUACUACGGGAGGCAGCAGUAGGGAAGCUUCCGAAAUGGGCGAAAGCCUGACGGAGCAACGCCGCGUGAGUGAUGAAGGUCUUCGGAUCGUAAAACUCUGUUAUUAGGGAAGAACAAAUGUGUAAGUAACUAUGCACAUCUUGACGGUACCUAAUCAGAAAGCCACGGCUAACUACGUG
rnacentral:rRNA from 1 species